GCCACUGUCGGUCUUCUCCGGGUUGGUGAAUGUCUUUCUCAUGUUGAUCGCCGUCGGCCUGGUGAUUCUCAUCGCACUGCUGCAGCCCCAGCAGAUCCACAGUACCUUCGUGUUAGCUUGACACGGAUGGACUUAUGUACAGCGUUUGUAUAGCCAUUCUCAUCCAUGUAUUUGCAAAAAGGAUAAGUUAAAGUUAAAAAAUCUGAAAUCCCAGAAUUAUUAUGAUGAGAGGAGGGGUGAAUUUAUAGUAAAGAUCAAUCCCUUAUACUUGUUUAAAAUCACUUGAAAGUCUGGUUCAAACAUGCUAGUCUUGAAAAUGUAAUCUCCUUCAAAAAUUGCGCGAAGCAACUUGUAAUAGAUUUUCAUGACCCAUCAAAAUCAAGGCCUACAAAGAAAAGCAAUGAAAAAUACACAUGCCGUGGAAUUUGAG
rnacentral:lncRNA from 1 species